rnacentral:tRNA from 1 species
GCCGCGGUAGUAUAGCCCGGCCAAGUAUGCGGGCCUUUCGAGCCCGUGACCCGGGUUCGAAUCCCGGCCGCGGCACCA